rnacentral:snRNA from 1 species
ACUUACUUUGGCAGCUGUAUACUAAAAUUGGAACGAUACAGAAAAAAUUAGUAUGCACAAGUAUGACACACAAACUCAUAAAGUAUUUCACAUUUGA